GACGAACGCUGGCGGCGUGCUUAACACAUGCAAGUCGAACGGAAGGGCCCCCUUGUGGGGUACUCGAGUGGCGAACGGGUGAGUAACACGUGAGUAACCUACCCUUGACUUUGGGAUAACUUCAGGAAACUGGGGCUAAUACCGGAUAGGAGCUCCUGCUGCAUGGUGGGGGUUGGAAAGUUUCGGCGGUUGGGGAUGGACUCGCGGCUUAUCAGCUUGUUGGUGGUGUAGUGGCUCACCAAGGCUUUGACGGGUAGCCGGCCUGAGAGGGUGACCGGCCACAUUGGGACUGAGAUACGGCCCAGACUCCUACGGGAGGCAGCAGUGGGGAAUAUUGCACAAUGGGCGGAAGCCUGAUGCAGCAACGCCGCGUGCGGGAUGACGGCCUUCGGGUUGUAAACCGCUUUCGCCUGUGACGAAGCGUGAGUGACGGUAAUGGGUAAAGAAGCACCGGCUAACUACGUG
rnacentral:rRNA from 1 species